CCCCUAGAUGUUCUGGGCCGCACGCGCGCUACACUGAACAGUUCAACAAGUCUUAACCUUGGCUGAUAGGUCUGGGUAAUCUUUGAACGCUGUUCGUGAUUGGGAUAGACCUUUGCAAUUAUGGGUCUUCAACGAGGAAUUCCUAGUAAACGCAAGUCAUCAGCUUGCAUUGAUUACGUCCCUGCCCUUUGUACACACCGCCCGUCGCACCUACCGAUUGAAUGGUCCGGUGAAAUCUCGGGACGGCGGCUUGGUCGCUUGCGUCCGACUGCUGAAACUUGAUUAAACCAUAUCAUUUAGAGGAAGGUGAAGUCGUANCA
rnacentral:rRNA from 1 species